GACGAACGCUGGCGGCGUGCUUAACACAUGCAAGUCGAACGGAAAGGCCCUGCUUUUGUGGGGUGCUCGAGUGGCGAACGGGUGAGUAACACGUGAGUAACCUGCCCUUGACUUUGGGAUAACUUCAGGAAACUGGGGCUAAUACCGGAUAGGAGCUCCUGCUGCAUGGUGGGGGUUGGAAAGUUUCGGCGGUUGGGGAUGGACUCGCGGCUUAUCAGCUUGUUGGUGGGGUAGUGGCUUACCAAGGCGUUGACGGGUAGCCGGCCUGGGAGGGUGACCGGCCACAUUGGGCCUGAGAUACGGCCCAGACUCCUACGGGAGGCAGCAGUGGGGAAUAGUGCACAAUGGGCGGAAGCCUGAUGCAGCAACUCCGCGUGCGGGAUGACGGCCUUCGGGUUGUAAACCGCUUUCGCCUGUGACGAAGCGUGAGUGACGGUAAUGGGUAAAGAAGCACCGGCUAACUACGUG
rnacentral:rRNA from 1 species